CUGCAGCCCGACUUGAACGGAAAUCCUUUUUUGCUUUUACUCGUUUUCUAUUGAAGACAAAUCGUCUGCAAAAAAGAUUGGGAGCGGAAGGCGGAUUAAGC
rnacentral:sRNA from 1 species